rnacentral:ribozyme from 1 species
GCCAAGGGACCUUACCUGCUUGGCAUGAAGGCUGCCAUCGCGACAACAUUCGAGCGCAUUCACCGAUCCAACUUGAUUGGCAUGGGCG